rnacentral:rRNA from 1 species
CCUACGGGAGGCAGCAGUGGGGAAUCUUGGGCAAUGGGCGAAAGCCUGACGCAGCGACGCCGCGUGGAGGAAGAAGGCCUUUGGGUUGUAAACUCCUUUUGUGGGGGACAAUGGUGAUGGUACCCCAUGAAUAAGCCACGGCUAACUCUGUGCCAGCAGCCGCGGUAAGACAGAGGUGGCAAGCGUUGUUCGGAAUCACUGGGCUUAAAGGGCGUGUAGGCGGCAUUGCAAGUCUGGGGUGGAAUCCGGUGGCUUAACCACCGAACUGCCCUGGAAACUGCAUUGCUUGAGUCAGUGAGGGGAGGGCGAAAUUCCCGGUGUAGCAGUGAAAUGCGUAGAUAUCGGGAGGACCACCAGUGGCGAAGGCGGCGUCCUGGCCGACACCUGACGCUGAAGCGCGAAAGCGGGGGGAGCGAACGGGAUUA